UACGUAGGGUGCGAGCGUUAAUCGGAAUUACUGGGUUUAAAGGGUGCGUAGGCGGGCAGGUAAGUCAGUGGUGAAAUCUCCGAGCUUAACUCGGAAACUGCCAUUGAUACUAUUUGUCUUGAAUAUUGUGGAGGUAAGCGGAAUAUGUCAUGUAGCGGUGAAAUGCUUAGAUAUGACAUAGAACACCAAUUGCGAAGGCAGCUUACUACACAAUGAUUGACGCUGAGGCACGAAAGCGUGGGGAUCAAACAGG
rnacentral:rRNA from 1 species